AACGAACGCUGGCGGCAUGCCUAACACAUGCAAGUCGAACGAGACCUUCGGGUCUAGUGGCGCACGGGUGCGUAACGCGUGGGAACCUGCCCUUAGGUUCGGAAUAACUCCCCGAAAGGGGUGCUAAUACCGGAGAAUGUCUUCGGACCAAAGAGUUAUCGCCUUUGGAUGGGCCCGCGUUGGAUUAGCUGGUUGGUAGGGUAAAAGCCUACCAAGGCGACGAUCCAUAGCUGGUCUGAGAGGAUGAUCAGCCACACUGGGACUGAGACCCGGCCCAGACCCCUACGGGAGGCAGCGGUGGGGAAUAUUGGACACUGGGCGAAAGCCUGAUCCCGCAAUGCCGCGUGAGUGAUGAAGGCCUUAGGGUUGUAAAGCUCUUUUACCCGGGAUGAUAAUGACAGUACCGGGAGAAUAAGCUCCGGCUAACUCCGUG
rnacentral:rRNA from 1 species